rnacentral:ncRNA from 1 species
CAAAGGCUUGGUCCUGACUUUACCAUCAGCUUUGGCCCAAUUUAUACAUGCAAGUAUCCGCACCCCCGUGAGAAUGCCCUCAAUUCCUCCGCCCGAGGAGGAGGAGCAGGCAUCAGGCACACUAACCAUGCCCAAGACGCCUUGCUAUGCCACACCCUCAAGGGACUUCAGCAGUAAUAGACAUUAAGCUAUGAGUGAAAACUCGACUUAGUUAAGGCCAUGAGGGUCGGUAAAAUUCGUGCCAGCCACCGCGGUUAUACGAAAGACCCUAGUUGAUAGACUACGGCGUAAAGGGUGGUUAAGGAAUACAAAAAUAAAGCUAAAAAUCCUCUAGGCUGUCAUACGCUUUCCGAGGAGAUGAAGCCCCACCACGAAAGUAGCUUUAAGCGUCUCCUGACACCACGAAAGCCAAGAAACAAACUGGGAUUAGAUACCCCACUAUGCUUGGCCAUAAACCAAGAUGCACCAUUACAUAUGCAUCCGCCCGGGUACUACGAGCACAGCUUAAAACCCAAAGGACUUGGCGGUGUCUCAGACCCACCUAGAGGAGCCUGUUCUAGAACCGAUAACCCCCGUUAAACCUCACCACUUCUUGUUUUCCCCGCCUAUAUACCGCCGUCGUCAGCUUACCCUGUGAAGGCUUAGUGUGAAGGCUUAGCAGUAAGCAAAAUGGGCAAACCCAAAAACGUCAGGUCAAGGUGUAGCGUACGAAGUGGGAAGAAAUGGGCUACAUUUUCUAUAAAAAGAAUAUUACGAAUGGUGUUUUGAAAAAAAUACCUGAAGGUGGAUUUAGUAGUAAAAAGCAAACAGAGUGUCCUUUUGAAUUAGGCUCUGAGACGCGCACACACCGCCCGUCACUCUCCCCCACAUAAAUCACUAUCUAACAUCACUAAUAACAUAAGCAUCAAUACGGGGAGGCAAGUCGUAACAUGGUAAGUGUACCGGAAGGUGCACUUGGAAUAAU